UGGCCCAGAUCGUUUACCGUGAAAAAAUUAGAGUGUUCAAAGCAGGCAGAUCCAAUUUUCUGCCACCGAAUACAUUAGCAUGGGAUAAUGGAAUAGGACCCUGUCCUCCUAUUUUCAGUUGGUUUUGGCAGCGCGAGGACUAGGGUAAUGAUUAAUAGGGAUAGUUGGGGGCAUUAAUAUUUAAUUGUCAGAGGUGAAAUUCUUGGAUUUAUGAAAGAUUAACUUCUGCGAAAGCAUCUGCCAAGGAUGUUUUCAUUAAUCAAGAACGAAAGUUAGGGGAUCGAAGACGAUCAGAUACCGUCGUAGUCUUAACCAUAAACGAUGCCGACCAGCGAUUAGGAGACGUUGAAUACAAAACACCACCAUCGGCGCGGUCGUCCUUGGCGUCGGUCCUUCACGGGGCCGGCGCGAGGGCGGCUAGCCCAG
rnacentral:rRNA from 1 species